rnacentral:rRNA from 1 species
CCAAUAGCGUAUAUUAAAGCUGUUGCAGUUAAAAAGCUCGUAGUUGAAUUUCGGGAUCAAUAUUUCGGUCAUGCCGUUGGUAUGCACUGUUAUAAUUGAUUUCUCACCUUCUAAAGAACCGUAAUGCCAUUAAUUGGGUGUCACGGGGAAUUAGGACUGUUACCUUGAAAAAAUUAGAGUGUUUAAAGCAGGCUCACGCUUGAAUACAUUAGCAUGGAAUAAUGAAAUAGGACAUCCGAUUCUAUUUUGUUGGUUUCUAGGAUCGAUGUAAUGAUUAAUAGGGAUAGUUGGGGGCAUUAGUAUUCAAUUGUCAGAGGUGAAAUUCUUGGAUUUAUUGAAGACUAACUACUGCGAAAGCAUUUGCCAAGGAUGUUUUCAUUAAUCAAGAACGAAAGUUAGGGGAUCGAAGACGAUCAGAUACCGUCGUAGUCUUAACCAUAAACUAUGCCGACUAGGGAUCGGAUGAUGUUAAUUUUUUAAUGACUCAUUCGGCGCCUUACG